GGCGUUUUCUGAAACAGUUUUAAUAGCAACAAAAGUUCAACAAGUUUAAUUUGAACAAAAUCCCACCACAACAUAAUAACUUUGUAAAAUCAGGAAUCACUUUAGUAACUUAAAUAGCCAGCUUCCGUUAUUGUGUUUACAGAAUACAACUACACUGAUACUGUGUGUGUACUUCCCUUUAUAGCAUGCAAUUAUUAAAGACCAUGUAAAGUCCGUAACGUAAACAAGUCCUUU